UACGUAGGGUGCGAGCGUUGUCCGGAAUUACUGGGCGUAAAGAGCUCGUAGGUGGUUUGUCGCGUUGUUCGUGAAAACUCACAGCUCAACUGUGGGCGUGCGGGCGAUACGGGCAGACUGGAGUACUGCAGGGGAGACUGGAAUUCCUGGUGUAGCGGUGGAAUGCGCAGAUAUCAGGAGGAACACCGGUGGCGAAGGCGGGGUCUCUGGGCAGUAACUGACGCUGGAGGAGCGAAAAGCGUGGGGGAGCGAACAGG
rnacentral:rRNA from 1 species